GCCUACACAUGCAGUCGAGGGGUAUUCAGUUUUCGGACUGGAGAGACCGGCGCACGGGUGCGUAACGCGUAUGCAAUCUACCUUUUACAGGGGAAUAGCCCAGAGAAAUUUGGAUUAAUGCCCCAUAGUAUAUAAACUUCGCAUGUUGUUUAUAUUAAAGUUCCAACGGUAAAAGAUGAGCAUGCGUCCCAUUAGUUAGUUGGUAAGGUAACGGCUUACCAAGACGAUGGUGGGUAGGGGUCCUGAGAGGGAGAUCCCCCACACUGGUACUGAGACACGGACCAGACUNNUACGGGAGGCAGCAGUGAGGAAUAUUGGACAAUGGGCGCAAGCCUGAUCCAGCCAUGCCGCGUGCAGGAAGAAGCAUCUAUGGUGUGUAAACUGCUUUUGUACAGGAAGAAACACUCCCUCGUGAGGGNAGCUUGACGGUACUGUAAGAAUAAGGAUCGGCUAACUCCGUGCCAGCAGCCGCGGUAAUACGGAGGAUCCAAGCGUUAUCCGGAAUCAUUGGGUUUAAAGGGUCCCGUAGGCGGUCUAAUAAGUCAGUGGUGAAAGCCCAUCGCUCAACGAUGGAACGNCCAUUGAUACUGUUA
rnacentral:rRNA from 1 species